rnacentral:rRNA from 1 species
GAUGAACGCUGGCGGCGUGCCUAAUACAUGCAAGUCGAGCGAACAGACGAGGAGCUUGCUCCUUCGACGUUAGCGGCGGACGGGUGAGUAACACGUAGGUAACCUACCUAUAAGACUGGGAUAACUUCGGGAAACCGGAGCUAAUACCGGAUAAUAUUUCGAACCGCAUGGUUCGAUAGUGAAAGAUGGCUUUGCUAUCACUUAUAGAUGGACCUGCGCCGUAUUAGCUAGUUGGUAAGGUAACGGCUUACCAAGGCAACGAUACGUAGCCGACCUGAGAGGGUGAUCGGCCACACUGGAACUGCGACACGGUCCAGACUCCUACGGGAGGCAGCAGUAGGGAAUCUUCCGCAAUGGGCGAAAGCCUGACGGAGCAACGCCGCGUGAGUGAUGAAGGUCUUCGGAUCGUAAAACUCUGUUAUUAGGGAAGAACAAACGUGUAAGUAACUGUGCACGUCUUGACGGUACCUAAUCAGAAAGCCACGGCUAACUACGUG